CCCAAUUUCCCCCCAUUUCCCCCCAAUCCCAGGUGCUGGCCAACGGCCUGGACAACAAGCUGCGUGAGGACCUGGAGCGCCUGAAGAAGAUCCGCGCCCACCGCGGCCUGCGCCACUUUUGGGGGCUGAGGGUGCGCGGGCAGCACACCAAGACCACCGGGCGGCGCGGGCGGACCGUGGGCGUGUCCAAGAAAAAAUGAGGGGAAAAAGGAGGAAUUCGGGCAAUUCCGGGAAUAAAAUGGUUUUGGAGUCAA